ensembl:lncRNA
GUAAGGGCGCGGAGGGGCGGGUGGGGGCGGCGCCAGCCCUCAGGGAACGGGGCGGGAGCGCGGCAACCACCCGAGUCACGUCGGGGGUGGGGUGAGCGCUAGGACAGAAGACCCGGGUGCCGCGGCGGGGCGCGCUGCCGGGGCACCGAGCGCGCUCCGCCGUGGAGCCGGUCCCCCACAGGCAUCGGGUCCCGGCCCCUCCACCGCUGCCGCCUGCGGGGACUGGUGCGUCCUCUGCGACAGCGCGGACAGCGCGGCGCCCCUCGUCUCCUCCCGGGGCGCGCUCCCGGAGCCGACGACCGGACUCCACGGCCAUCGCGACUCUUCCGGGAGCUUCUCGCCGCUCCGCGGCGGGACCGAAGCCCAGGCGGGCCGAGGGUGGCCUGUCCCCGGAGGCACAGAUGCGGACGCGGCGAGGCGCCGGGCAGCCCGUGAGGUGGUGAGUCCUGUGAGAUACAUACCAGUACUACCCCAUUUCCAGGUGAGAAAGCUGAGGACCAGAAAGGUAAAACUUGGCCACCAUCACGAGGGGGAGAAUGAAGUGGAACCAGGACCCAUAUUCAUUCCUUUCUGACUCCCAAGCCUCACUCCUUAAGCAGCUGCAUCUGGCCUCAAUUUGGCAAAUUGCUUAGCCUCUCCACACCUUGGUGUUCUUGUGUGUACAGACAGCAUCAGGCUCACGAGCCACCGAAACGCCUUGACCUGGGCGGCUGACAGAUGAAGGAGUACAUUUGGGAGACUCCAGACUCCGUCAACUGUCAGUGAAAUUCAUGCAACUGAUAUGGAUACAGAACCCAUGGAUACAGAGGGGUGACUGUAUACUGGAACCCACCAAACUGUACUUUUAAGUGGUGAAAUUUACAGCGUGUAAGUUAUAUCUCAGUAGAGGGAAAAAAGGGGGGCACCAUUCUUCCUAGUGGCCCAAAAUAAAUGGCAUGAACCCAGCAGGUUUCUGAAAGCCCCAUAACUCUUUUUUCUUUUUUUACUCCAGCACGCUUGAUAAAUGCUAACUCCCCUGACUCAGAAGAUUCCUUGGUGGUCCAGUGGUUAAGACUUUGUGUUCCACUGCAGGGGUUGUGGGUUUGAUACCUGGUUGGGGAACUGUGAUCCCGUAUGCCACAGGAAACCAUAAAAAGAAAUAAAUAAAUUGGGCCAAGAUACAAAAGAAAAUCUAAUCCUGGUGUAGGUAACACAAGAGAGUCGGGCAUCCUGUGGCUGUUCUGCCUGGACACUGGCAGGUACUGACAAGUCCAAAGCAGCCUGUCUUUUAUGCCCUCGAAGACAGGACUGUGGUGACACGGGGUCUGAGACUGGACCCUGCAGAAGAAAGGGGGCUUGGUGGUGGGGAGGACUUGCCUAUUGCAACCCUGCGUCUGUGAAUGACAGAUGUUGCUGCCAUAUUGGUAAACAAGGAUGCUGCAACCUUCAAGCCACCACAUUACCAGCCACACAGACCAUAAGCCCUGAGGGAACUCAGGAUGGAGGCAGGAAGCACCCACUCCCCAGCUAGAAGUCAGCCGCUGCAGCCACCGCCAGGGGGUACCCUGAGGAGACUCAGGAUGAGAAAACACGGUAUUCUGGCCCAGAGAGCAGAGGGUAUACCAAGGAAUGACGUCAGCAAGCCCAGACUUUUGCAACUUUCCCAUGCAUAGACAAGCGCUAAAUUCCUUAACUUGAAAUGUCUGGUGUUCUUUAACAGUAAGGUAGCUCAGUGGUAAAGAAUCCGACUGCCAGUGCAUGAGACAAGGAUUCGAUCCUUGGGUUGGGAAGAUCCCUGGAGGAAGGCAUGGCAACCCACUCCAGUAUUGCCUGGGGAAUUCCAUGGACAGAGGAGCCUGGAAGGCUACAGUCCAUUGGGUCGCAAAAGAGUCGGACAUGACUGAACAACUCAACAACAACAAUAGCAGCAAUAUUUUGAUGUUCUGACUACUUGGUCUUUGUUGCAGAAACUCCUAUGUAUCCUGGCUCCUGGCUUGCCUCUUUGGAGCAGUCCCACAGAGCUAUCUGAGAGGUUAUGUCCUGGGCUUAAGUUCUUUAAAGAUGUCCGCCAAAUAAAACAAAACUCUCAGCUCUGAGGUCGUGCUUUUUUUUUUUUCAGUUGAUAUAUCGGAAAGUCAUUUGGUGGGCCCAUGGUGGAUGGGCCAGUGUGGGGACCUAUGUGUAACCUGUGGGGGUGCUCCAGGGAGCCUGCCUAGCCCUUGCAAAGCCCUUGUGUCAGCAAGCACACUCUUCAAAACCCCACUUCUGAAUAAGGAAGCGCAACUUGACUUGUUGGGUUGGUGAAGAAAUCUCCACUGAAUUAAAAAU